AACGAACGCUGGCGGCAUGCCUAACACAUGCAAGUCGAACGAAGGCUUCGGCCUUAGUGGCGCACGGGUGCGUAACACGUGGGAAUCUGCCCUUUGCUUCGGAAUAACAGUUAGAAAUGACUGCUAAUACCGGAUGAUGUCGCAAGACCAAAGAUUUAUCGGCAAAGGAUGAGCCCGCGUAGGAUUAGGUAGUUGGUGGGGUAAAGGCCUACCAAGCCGACGAUCCUUAGCUGGUCUGAGAGGAUGAUCAGCCACACUGGGACUGAGACACGGCCCAGACUCCUACGGGAGGCAGCAGUGGGGAAUAUUGGACAAUGGGCGAAAGCCUGAUCCAGCAAUGCCGCGUGAGUGAUGAAGGCCUUAGGGUUGUAAAGCUCUUUUACCAGGGAUGAUAAUGACAGUACCUGGAGAAUAAGCUCCGGCUAACUCCGUGCCAGCCGCCGCUGUAACAC
rnacentral:rRNA from 1 species